AUUGAACGAUGGCGGCAGGCCUAACAUAUGCAAGUCGAACGAGUGGCGUCCGGGUGAGUCAUGUCUGGGAAACUGCCCGAUGGCGGGGUAUAACUACUGGAAACGGUAGCUAAUACCGCAUACCAUCGGAUGUGCCCAGAUUGGAUUAGCUAGUCGGUGGGGUAACGGGUCACCUACGCGACGAUCCCUCGCUGGUCUGAGAGGAUGACCAGCCACACUGGAACUAAAACACGGUCGAGGCUCCUACGGGAGGCAGCAGUGGGGAAUAUUGCGCAAUGGGCGCAAGACUGAUGCAGCCAUGCCGCGUGUAUGAAGAAGGCCUUCGGGUUGUAAAGUACGUUAAGCAAGGGGGCGUUAAUAGCAGGAGAAGCGCAGGCUGACUCCGUGGCAGCAGCCGCGGUAAUAC
rnacentral:rRNA from 1 species